rnacentral:rRNA from 1 species
GACAGAGGAGCCAAGCGUUGUCCGGAUUGACUGGGCGUAAAGCGCACGCAGGUGGUCGCGCAAGUGCCGUGUGAAAGCCGGUGGCUUAACUGCCGGAGCCAUGGCAGACUGCGUAACUCGAGUCCGAGAGAGGUCCGUGGAAUUGCCGGUGUAGUGGUGAAAUGCGUAGAGAUCGGCAGGAACACCCAAGGAGAAAUCAGCGGACUGGCUCGGUACUGACGACUGAGGUGCGA